AGCAGCCGCGGUAAUUCCAGCUCCAAUAGCGUAUAUUAAAGUUGCUGCAGUUAAAAAGCUCGUAGUUGAAUUUCGGGACCAUCAUGUCGGUCGUGCCUCGGUACGUACUGGCAUUGUUGGUUUCUACCUUCUGAAGAACCUCGAUGUCAUUAAUUUGGUGUCUUGGGGAAUCAGGACUGUUACUUUGAAAAAAUUAGAGUGUUUAAAGCAGGCUCGCGCUUGAAUACAUUAGCAUGGAAUAAUGAGAUAGGACGUUUGAUUCUAUUUUGUUGGUUUCUAGGAUCGACGUAAUGAUUAAUAGGGAUAGUUGGGGGCAUUAGUAUUCAAUUGUCAGAGGUGAAAUUCUUGGAUUUAUUGAAGACUAACUACUGCGAAAGCAUUUGCCAAGGAUGUUUUCAUUAAUCAAGAACGAAAGUUAGGGGAUCGAAGACGAUCAGAUACCGUCGUAGUCUUAACCAUAAACUAUGCCGACUAGGGAU
rnacentral:rRNA from 1 species